rnacentral:rRNA from 1 species
AACGAACGCUGGCGGCAGGCCUAACACAUGCAAGUCGAACGCACCGCAAGGUGAGUGGCGCACGGGUGAGUAACACAUGGGAAUGUGCCCUUUGGUUCGGAAUAACGUCUGGAAACGGACGCUAAUACCGGAUGUCCCCUGCGGGGGAAAGAUUUAUCGCCAAAGGAGCAGCCCGCGUCUGAUUAGGUAGUUGGUGGGGUAAAGGCCUACCAAGCCGACGAUCAGUAGCUGGUCUGAGAGGAUGAUCAGCCACACUGGGACUGAGACACGGCCCAGACUCCUACGGGAGGCAGCAGUGGGGAAUAUUGGACAAUGGGCGCAAGCCUGAUCCAGCCAUGCCGCGUGAGUGAUGAAGGCCUUCGGGUUGUAAAGCUCUUUCGCACACGACGAUGAUGACGGUAGUGUGAGAAGAAGCCCCGGCUAACUUCGUGCCAGCCGCCGCGGUAA